ACGCCGCGUGAGUGAAGAAGGUUUUCGGAUCGUAAAACUCUGUUGUAAGGGAAGAACAAGUACAGUAGUAACUGGCUGUACCUUGACGGUACCUUAUUAGAAAGCCACGGCUAACUACGUGCCAGCAGCCGCGGUAAUACGUAGGUGGCAAGCGUUGUCCGGAAUUAUUGGGCGUAAAGCGCGCGCAGGCGGUCCUUUAAGUCUGAUGUGAAAGCCCACGGCUCAACCGUGGAGGGUCAUUGGAAACUGGGGGACUUGAGUGCAGAAGAGGAAAGUGGAAUUCCAAGUGUAGCGGUGAAAUGCGUAAAGAUUUGGAGGAACACCAGUGGCGAAGGCGACUUUCUGGUCUGUAACUGACGCUGAGGCGCGAAAGCGUGGGGAGCAAACAGGAUUAUAUACCCUGGUAGUCCACGCCGUAAAAGAUGAGUGCUAAGUGUUAGGGGGUUUCCGCCCCUUAGUGCUGCAGCUAACGCAUUAAGCACUCCGCCUGGGGAGUA
rnacentral:rRNA from 1 species